AAAAUGUCAUGACUGGUGAUAUGUAUACGCUAGCAUCCUCAUGUAGUGUAGAUUUAAGUUUGUUCAAAUCAUGACUCCCAUGUGUAGGGCAGAGCCCCAAUGGUGGAUCAAAAUGGACAGGGGAAUAUAUAGGAAACGUCCUCUCAAUAAUACCAAAGCCAUAUAUAGUCAUAUUGAUAUGGUAGCAUCCUUAGGUAGUGUAGAUUCACAUUUGUCCAAAUCUUGAUUCCAGGGGGCAGGGAGGGGCAUCAAUGGGGAUAAAAUUUUAACAAAGGAAUAUAUAGAAAAAAAAUCUUAUGUUCAAGAACAGCUAAGCCAUUGUUAUUGAUAUGAAAAUGUCUCAAGGUAGUUAUUCUAAAAUUUAUACUUUUCAAUACUGGACUAAUUUGUGCAUUUACUAGCCAAUAUGCUUAGGUGAGCAUAUCGCCUAUUGGCCACUUGUUUAUUUUAGAAAUCUUCUCACUUGGUAUGAAGUGCCAAUGAUCCCCUUUUGGUGUCUGUUUUUAUCUUUUUAAGCAGAAUAAUGUUAGGGUUGAACAGGAUCCUGAAGUGAGGAAGACUCCCUCUCCCAUUGAACUGCAGACAUCAGCAGAAAGCAGAAUUUCAGUUCCUCUUUAAUUCAGAAGAGGAACAACAAUGGAGGACCAAGGUCAUUAAUAUAAGAAGAGUCUAUUCCUGUCUGUGUUUUGAAGGCAUUGUGUUUCAAAAGUGCAGAAGAAAGUUAAGACUGACUAGGAAUUCUAAGUGAGGAAGAGUCCCUCUCCCAUUCCACUGCAGCCAUGAGGAGAAUAUUUGUACUUUUUUUACCUAUGGAACUUCAUCAGGACCCACUUUAACAAGCAGGAGUCUUACAAUAUUUUAAAGGGAUUUGACAAGGGAAGAAGGAAGAAGACCAGUGCUGACCAAGAGAAGAAGAAGAGUCCAUUGCCAAGCUUUGUCCAGCAGCCAAUAUCUGAUAAUGGAGCAGAAGAUGAGACUGACCUCAACUUGUUAACAAGACUGGAGAUGAAGGACUAACUACUGUCUAACCUGAAAUCUUUGGUAGGGGUUUAUGCUGGCAUUGAUCCUGUUUCCAAAAGCAGCUCGCCAUGUUUCUGUGAGAGUCCAAAGAGAUCAGCUAGAACCUGAAAAUAAAGACAGACUGCCAUCAAUUUUGUUUCUUUGACAGCAAACAAGUAUCCUUCAACAAUAGUGCAGAGAUUAAGGUUUGGGCUGCAAGCGAUGGACACACUAAAGAGCUUAACUCACAGAAUUCAAUGGACUGUGCUGAGUACAUUGUUAUCAGAAAGUGAUGGACACACUAAACAGCUUACCUCACAGAAUUCAAUGAACUGUGCCGAGUACAUUGUUAUGAUAAAGUGAUGGACAGUUGGACACACUAAAUAUCUUAACGUGUAGGAUUCAGUGCACUGUGCUGAGUAACUCUUAUCAACACAGUGAUGGACACACUAAACAGCUUAACUCACAGAAUUUAAUGGAUAUUGCUUGAGUACGUUGUUAUUACAAAAUGAUGGACACAGUAAAUAGCUUGACUCCAGAA